UGUGGUUUAAUUCGAAGCAACGCGAAGAACCUUACCAGGUCUUGACAUCCCGAUGCUAUUUCUAGAGAUAGAAAGUUACUUCGGUACAUCGGUGACAGGUGGUGCAUGGUUGUCGUCAGCUCGUGUCGUGAGAUGUUGGGUUAAGUCCCGCAACGAGCGCAACCCCUAUUGUUAGUUGCCAUCAUUCAGUUGGGCACUCUAGCGAGACUGCCGGUAAUAAACCGGAGGAAGGUGGGGAUGACGUCAAAUCAUCAUGCCCCUUAUGACCUGGGCUACACACGUGCUACAAUGGUUGGUACAACGAGUUGCGAGUCGGUGACGGCGAGCUAAUCUCUUAAAGCCAAUCUCAGUUCGGAUUGUAGGCUGCAACUCGCCUACAUGAAGUCGGAAUCGCUAGUAAUCGCGGAUCAGCACGCCGCGGUGAAUACGUUCCCGGGCCUU
rnacentral:rRNA from 1 species